UGCGGUUUAGAGUAAAGGUAACUCAAUGGUCUCAUAAGCCAUAGCUGCAGGUUCGACUCCUGUAGCCGCAA
rnacentral:tRNA from 2 species